rnacentral:rRNA from 1 species
AUUGAACGCUGGCGGCAGGCCUAACACAUGCAAGUCGAGCGGAUGAAGGGAGCUUGCUCCUGGAUUCAGCGGCGGACGGGUGAGUAAUGCCUAGGAAUCUGCCUGGUAGUGGGGGAUAACGUCCGGAAACGGGCGCUAAUACCGCAUACGUCCAGAGGGAGAAAGUGGGGGAUCUUCGGACCUCACGCUAUCACAUGAGCCUAGGUCGGAUUAGCUAGUUGGUGGGGUAAAGGCCUACCAAGGCGACGAUCCGUAACUGGUCUGAGAGGAUGAUUAGUCACACUGGAACUGAGACACGGUCCAGACUCCUACGGGAGGCAGCAGUGGGGAAUAUUGGACAAUGGGCGCAAGCCUGAUCCAGCCAUGCCGCGUGUGUGAAGAAGGUCUUCGGAUUGUAAAGCACUUUAAGUUGGGAGGAAGGGCAGUAAGUUAAUACCUUGCUGUUUUGACGUUACCAACAGAAUAAGCACCGGCUAACUUCGUG